rnacentral:rRNA from 1 species
AUUGAACGCUGGCGGCAGGCCUAACACAUGCAAGUCGAGCGGCAGCGGGACCUUCGGGUUGCCGGCGAGCGGCGGACGGGUGAGUAAUGCCUAGGAAUCUGCCUGUUAGUGGGGGAUAACGCGGGGAAACUCGCGCUAAUACCGCAUACGUCCUACGGGAGAAAGCGGGGGCUCUUCGGACCUCGCGCUAACAGAUGAGCCUAGGUCGGAUUAGCUAGUUGGUGGGGUAAUGGCUCACCAAGGCGACGAUCCGUAACUGGUCUGAGAGGAUGAUCAGUCACACUGGAACUGAGACACGGUCCAGACUCCUACGGGAGGCAGCAGUGGGGAAUAUUGGACAAUGGGCGAAAGCCUGAUCCAGCCAUGCCGCGUAUGUGAAGAAGGUCUUCGGAUUGUAAAGCACUUUAAGUCGGGAGGAAGGGCUGUAGGUUAAUACCCUGCGGUUUUGACGUUACCGACAGAAGAAGCCCCGGCUAACUUCGUGCCAGCCGCCGCAGUAAGAC